rnacentral:rRNA from 1 species
AGCUCCAAUAGCGUAUAUUAAAGUUGUUGCGGUAAAAAAGCUCGUAGUUGGAUUUCUGUUGAGGACGUCCGGUCUGCACAAUGUGCGCGUAUCUGGUACGGCCUCGGCAUCCUCUCGAAAGACGUUUCUGCUCUUGAUUGAGUGGUGCGGACCUCGGGACUUUUACUUUGAGGAAAUUAGAGUGUUCACGGCAGGCUAUCGCCAGAAUACAUUAGCAUGGAAUAAUACUAUAGGAUCUCGGUUCUAUUUUGUUGGUUUCUAGAGUUGAGAUAAUGAUUAAUAGGGACAAUUGGGGGCAUUCGUAUCAACACGUCAGAGGUGGAAUUCUUGGAUUGUGUUGCGACGAACUACUGCGAAAGCAUUUGCCAAGGAUGUUUUCA